UCCUACGGGAGGCAGCAGUGGGGAAUAUUGGACAAUGGGCGCAAGCCUGAUCCAGCAAUGCCGCGUGUGUGAAGAAGGCCUUCGGGUUGUAAAGCACUUUUAUCAGGAGCGAAAUACUACGGGCUAAUACCCUGUGGGGCUGACGGUACCUGAGGAAUAAGCACCGGCUAACUUCGUGCCAGCAGCCGCGGUAAUACGAAGGGUGCAAGCGUUAAUCGGAAUUACUGGGCGUAAAGCGUGCGUAGGCGGUGAGUUAAGUCUGCUGUGAAAUCCCCGGGCUCAACCUGGGAAUGGCAGUGGAUACUGGCUCGCUAGAGUGUGUCAGAGGAUGGUGGAAUUCCCGGUGUAGCGGUGAAAUGCGUAGAGAUUGGGAGGAACAUCAGUGGCGAAGGCGGCCAUCUGGGACAACACUGACGCUGAGGCACGAAAGCGUGGGGAGCAAACAGGAUUAGAUACCCUGGUAGUCCACGCCCUAAACGAUGCGAACUGGAUGUUGGUCUCAACUCGGAGAUCAGUGUCGAAGCUAACGCGUUAAGUUCGCCGCCUGGGGAGUACGGUCGCAAGACUGAAACUCAAAUGAAUUGACGGA
rnacentral:rRNA from 1 species